rnacentral:rRNA from 1 species
UGACGGUAUCUAACCAGCAAGUCACGGCUAACUACGUGCCAGCAGCCGCGGUAAUACGUAGGUGGCAAGCGUUAUCCGGAUUUAUUGGGCGUAAAGGGAACGCAGGCGGUUUUUUAAGUCUGAUGUGAAAGCCUUCGGCUUAACCGGAGAAUGGCAUUGGAAACUGGAAGACUUGAGUGCAGAAGAGGAGAGUGGAACUCCAUGUGUAGCGGUGAAAUGCGUAGAUAUAUGGAAGAACACCAGUGGCGAAAGCGGCUCUCUGGUCUGUAACUGACGCUGAGGUUCGAAAGCGUGGGUAGCAAACAGGAUUAGAUACCCUG